CGGUAAUUCCAGCUCCAAUAGCGUAUAUUAAAGUUGUUGCAGUUAAAAAGCUCGUAGUUGGAUUUCGGAACCGGCCGAUUGGUCCGUCCUCUGGAUCGUGUACUGAUCGGUCUGUUCUUCUUCGCGAAGACCGCGUGUGCCCUUAACUGGGUGGGUGUGGGAUUCGCGACGUCUACUUUGAAAAAAUUAGAGUGUUCAGAGCAGGCAGUCGCUUGAAUAUCUCAGCAUGGAAUAAUAGAAUAGGACUUUGGUCUUAUUUUGUUGGUUUCCGAGACCGAAGUAAUGAUUAAUAGGGACAGUUGGGGGCAUUCGUAUUUCAUUGUCAGAGGUGAAAUUCUUGGAUUUAUGAAAGACGAACUUCUGCGAAAGCAUUUGCCAAGGAUGUUUUCAUUAAUCAAGAACGAAAGUUGGAGGCUCGAAGACGAUCAGAUACCGUCCUAGUUCCAACCAUAAACGAUGCCGUCUGCGGAUCGGAGGUCGCUCAUGUAAGGCUCCUUCGGCACGCUAUGAGAAAUCAAAGACUUCGGGUUCCGGGGGGAGUAUGUUCGCAAGAAUGAAACUUAAAGGAAUUGACGGGAGGGCACCACCAGGAGUGGAGCCUGUGGCUUAAUUUGAUUCAACACGGGAAAACUUACCAGGUCCGGGCAUGGGAAGGAUUGACAGAUUGAAAGCUCUUUCUUGAUUCUAUGGGUGGUGGUGCAUGGCCGUUCCUAGUUGGUGGAGUGAUUUGUCUGGUUAAUUCCGUUAACGAACGAGACCUCAGCCUGCUAAAUAGUUGCAGUCUUCUUGAAGGCUUUGCUAACUUCUUAGAGGGACUACUUGAGAAACAACCGAGCGGAAGCUUGAGGCAAUAACAGGUCUGUGAUGCCCUUAGAUGUUCUGGGCCGCACACGGGCUACACUGGUGUUUUCAACAAGCCUUACUACCUUAACCGAAAGGUUUGGGUAAUCUUUGAAAUAACACCGUGCUUGGGAUAGACUAUUGCAAUUUUUAGUCUUCAACGAGGAAUUCCUAGUAAGCGCAAGUCAUCAGCUUGCAUUGAUUACGUCCCUGCCCUUUGUACACACCGCCCGUCGCUCCUACCGAUUGGAUGAUUCGGUAAGCUCUUGGGAUUGAUUGACUCGUACUCAUAGUUCGUUUUAUGACUAACUUGAUCAAACCUAAUCAUCUAGAGGAAGGAGAAGUCGUAACAAGGUAGCCG
rnacentral:rRNA from 1 species